UACGGAGGGGACUAGCGUUGUUCGGAAUUACUGGGCGUAAAGCGCACGUAGGCGGAUUUGCCAGUCAGGGGUGAAAUCCCGGGGCUCAACCUCGGAACUGCCUUUGAUACAGCAAGUCUUGAGUUCGAGAGAGGUGGGUGGAAUUCCUAGUGUAGAGGUGAAAUUCGUAGAUAUUAGGAAGAACACCGGUGGCGAAGGCGGCCCACUGGCUCGACACUGACGCUGAGGUGCGAAAGCGUGGGGAGCAAACAGG
rnacentral:rRNA from 1 species